AUGAUACAUUGUUCAUCACAUAUACUAAAAUUGGAAAGAUACAUAGAAGAUUAGCAUGGCUCCUGCGCAAGGAUGACACGCAAACUCGUGAAGCGUUCCAUAAACAU